GGCUGCAUAGUUCAACUGGAUAGAAUAUCAGAUUCCGGUUCUGACGAUAGAGGUUCGAAUCCCCUUGCGGUCACAA
rnacentral:tRNA from 2 species